AAAUGUUAAUUAUUUUCUGCUUUUAUUUAUAUUUUGGCGCUGCUUGUUGCAUUUAUAUAUUUGAAGCUCGUUUCUGGGAUGCCUAGUUUAUUUAAUUAUUAAGAACAUUUAAAUUGACCAGUCAAUGUCACAACUUAAGCACAUUAAAGAUAAUUGCAAUUUGUAUUAUGUAAAUUGCCAGUACGGAAGUAAACGUGGAAAAUGAGCCAGAUGCACUAAAAAAGAACAGAAAAUUAUUUUCGUGGGAAAAAAGAGCAAACAAAUUAAGUGCACGAACCUCUUACGAAUACUUAAUUUUCCAUUUUAAUUUUUUUGUUUCAUAAUUGGGAUAAUUGUUUUCCAAUUGAUCGAGCAUAAAUGCAAUUCAAUCAUGAAGUCGCUGAUUUCCCAGUCUGUCUCUAUCACUCUCGUAUUUUUUUUGCUUAUUGCCCAUAAAUAAAUCUAUGAAAAAGUUUAUUUUUUA